GAAUUCUAUUUUAAUAUUAAAAUUUAUUUCUAAGAGAAGAUACUCUAGUUUGCAUUAAGAUGUCAUUUAAUACUGAAAAUUAGUAAAUAAAAUUUUAACUGUAAUUUAUCUAUAACAGUAAUAUAUAUAGCCUUAAAUCAUGUUUUUACGCGUUGUUAAUUUAUACAUGUUUUUACUAAGCUAACCAUAUUUGCUACUAUUUUUGUGCAGAUCAAGCUGUAGUUCACUUGAAACAAAGGGAUUGUGAUCUUUGUACACAAGACAUAUUUGAACAUAUUUCUUCAACAGAGAUUAACCUCAGACCUACUGUGUGACAUAAGUUAUUGAAAAUGCUGGAUUACGAGGGAGGUGGAUCACGAGGUCAAGAGAUCAAGACCAUCCUGGCCAACAUGAUGAAACCCUGUCUCUACUAAAAUUAGCCAGGCAUGAUGGCGUGCACCUGUAGUCCCUGCUACUUAGGGGGCUGAGGCAGGAGAAUCACUUGAACCUGGGAGGCAGAGGUUGCAGUGAGCCCAUUUCGCACCACUGUACUCCAGCCUGAUGACAGAGCGAGACUCCAUUUCAAAGAAAAAGAAAAAAAAAAGAAAGAAAAUACUGGAUUAAUGUGCGAGGAGUUACUGGCUGAAGUCACACACAAAAAGCAUCUCUUUGUGUACGAUCCAUGAAUUUAAUGAUUUAUCUAUCAUACGUUUUUCUUUUCAAGAAACCGAGUAUAUGCGGAUGUGGUUAUGGAACUACUUCUUCAAAUACAAUGACGCAUGUUUAAAUCUUGCAUUGAUAUUUUACUUUUUUUUAAGUAGGUGUUCUUUCUUUUUCUUUUUCUUUAUUUUAUUAUUUUUUUUUAUUUUACUUUAAGUUCUGGGAUACAUGUACAGAAGCGUGCAGGUGUGUUACAUAGGUACACAUGUGCCAUGGUGGUUUGCUGCAUCUAUCAACCCAUCAUCUAGGUUUUAACACCUGCAUGCAUUAGGUAUUUGUCCUAAUGCCCUCCCUCCCCUU
rnacentral:lncRNA from 1 species